rnacentral:lncRNA from 1 species
UUACACUAACUUUGGUGUCCACACUUUAACUAAGUUCUUUUUAUUCCAUCCUCAUUUCUCCUUUUUUAUUCUUUGUUGCACCUUCAGGUUAGGUAUGGCUUCUUUUAUUCAUUAUUUUUCUUUUUUUGUAUUUUUCACAUUCUCUCUUUCCUUUUUCUACAACACCCAGCCUAACUAACUUUUCUCUUAUUUUACCCUUAUUCAUACUCAUUUUACAUCAUGCAC